GAUGAACGCUGGCGGCGCGCUUAACACAUGCAAGUCGAACGAAGCACUUUACUUGAUCUUUUCGGAGUGAUUGUUUUGUGACUGAGUGGCGGACGGGUGAGUAACGCGUGGGUAACCUGCCUCACACAGGGGGAUAACAGUCGGAAACGGCUGCUAAUACCGCAUAAGCGCACAGUACCGCAUGGUAGGGUGUGAAAAACUCCGGUGGUGUGAGAUGGACCCGCGUCUGACUAGCUAGUUGGCAGGGCAACGGCCUACCAAGGCGACGAUCAGUAGCCGACCUGAGAGGGUGACCGGCCACAUUGGGACUGAGACACGGCCCAAACUCCUACGGGAGGCAGCAGUGGGGAAUAUUGCACAAUGGGGGAAACCCUGAUGCAGCGACGCCGCGUGAGCGAAGAAGUAUUUCGGUAUGUAAAGCUCUAUCAGCAGGGAAGAAGAAAUGACGGUACCUGUCUAAGAAGCACCGGCUAAAUACGUGCCAGCAGCCGCGGUAA
rnacentral:rRNA from 1 species